rnacentral:rRNA from 1 species
AGUGAACGCUGGUGGUAGGCCUAACACAUGCAAGUCGAACGGCAGCACAGUAAGAGCUUGCUCUUAUGGGUGGCGAGUGGCGGACGGGUGAGGAAUACAUCGGAAUCUACUUUUUCGUGGGGGAUAACGUAGGGAAACUUACGCUAAUACCGCAUACGACCUACGGGUGAAAGCAGGGGAUCUUCGGACCUUGCGCGAUUGAAUGAGCCGAUGUCGGAUUAGCUAGUUGGCGGGGUAAAGGCCCACCAAGGCGACGAUCCGUAGCUGGUCUGAGAGGAUGAUCAGCCACACUGGAACUGAGACACGGUCCAGACUCCUACGGGAGGCAGCAGUGGGGAAUAUUGGACAAUGGGCGCAAGCCUGAUCCAGCCAUACCGCGUGGGUGAAGAAGGCCUUCGGGUUGUAAAGCCCUUUUGUUGGGAAAGAAAAGCAGCAGGUUAAUACCCCGCUGUUCUGACGGUACCCAAAGAAUAAGCACCGGCUAACUUCGUG